rnacentral:lncRNA from 1 species
UGGUGUUUGUUUACACAUACAUGUUCCAAAUAUGACUCUUUUCUCUCACACGGGUACUUUGAGUGUUUUCAGGAAAUUUGUACAAGUAAAUUUUCACCUUUUUUCGAUAACAACUACCCUAUUUAUAUACAAAUAACAUAACUGUUACUAACUACCAAAUCCUAAAACUGUGACACAUGGCUUUCUUCCUUUCGCCAGAUGCUCCCACGCGUCUUCUGCCAAACGUCACAACUCUUCUGAAUUUGAAUAUUUACACUUUACGUCGAAAUGACGUCUCUCUCCAGACUUUGUCGAAU